ACUCUAGGCGGUGGAUCACUCGGUUCGUGCGUCGAUGAAGAGCGCA
rnacentral:rRNA from 2 species